UACCAGCACCCCGAGUGGUCGGGACGUUUAUUGGGCCUAAAGCGUCCGUAGCCGGUUCUACAAGUCUUCCGUUAAAUCCACCUGCUCAACAGAUGGGCUGCGGAAGAUACUAUGGAGCUAGGAGGCGGGAGAGGCAAGCGGUACUCGAUGGGUAGGGGUAAAAUCCGCUGAUCCAUUGAAGACCACCAGUGGCGAAGGCGGCUUGCCAGAACGCGCUCGACGGUGAGGGAUGAAAGCUGGGGGAGCAAACCGG
rnacentral:rRNA from 1 species